rnacentral:tRNA from 1 species
CAGGGAAUAGUUUAAUUUUAAAAUGUUAACUUUGGAGGUUAAUGAUAAGUUUUUUCUUUUCUCUGA